rnacentral:rRNA from 1 species
GACAGAGGGUGCAAACGUUGUUCGGAAUUACUGGGCGUAAAGCGCGUGUAGGCUGCUUGGAAAGUCGGAUGUGAAAGCCCUGGGCUCAACCUAGGAAGUGCAUUCGAAACUUCCAAGCUGGAGUGCUGGAGAGGAAGGCGGAAUUCUCGGUGUAGAGGUGAAAUUCGUAGAUAUCGGGAGGAACACCGGUGGCGAAGGCGGCGACCUGGGUAGAUACUGACGCUGAGGUGCGAAAGCGUGGGGAGCAAACAGG